rnacentral:rRNA from 1 species
GUGUCAGCAGCCGCGGUAAUACGGAGGGUGCAAGCGUUAUCCGGAUUUACUGGGUUUAAAGGGUGCGUAGGUGGGUUGGUAAGUCAGUGGUGAAAUCUUCGAGCUUAACUCGGAAACUGCCAUUGAUACUAUCAAUCUUGAAUUAUCUGGAGGUAAGCGGAAUAUGUCAUGUAGCGGUGAAAUGCUUAGAUAUGACAUAGAACACCCAUUGCGAAGGCAGCUUACUACGGAUAUAUUGACACUGAGGCACGAAAGCGUGGGGAUCAAACAGGAUUAGAUACCCUUGUAGUCC